AGAACGAACGCUGGCGGCAUGCCUAACACAUGCAAGUCGAACGCGUGUAGCAAUACACGAGUGGCGGACGGGUGAGUAACGCGUGGGAACCUGCCCUGGAGUGGGGGAUAACCGAUGGAAACGUCGGCUAAUACCGCAUACGUCCUGAGGGAGAAAGAUUUAUCGCUCUAGGAGGGGCCCGCGUCGGAUUAGCUAGUUGGUGAGGUAACGGCUCACCAAGGCGAUGAUCCGUAGCUGGUCUGAGAGGAUGAUCAGCCACACUGGGACUGAGACACGGCCCAGACUCCUACGGGAGGCAGCAGUGGGGAAUAUUGGACAAUGGGGGCAACCCUGAUCCAGCAAUGCCGUGUGAGUGAUGAAGGCCUUAGGGUUGUAAAGCUCGUUUCGGCGGGGUACGAUGAUGACGGUACCGCAGAAGAAGCCCGGCUAACUUCGCGCCAGCAGCCGC
rnacentral:rRNA from 1 species